UUUCACAGAUGGACCGUUAAGCCAGCCCAGGGGACGGCAGAGCAGCCUGAGGGAGCAAGAACUGUCACCACGGUCUGCCCGCGAAGCACUGAGGUGAUGCUGGGGUUGCAGUGAGCUGUCAAACUAGAUGUGUCAGAAAUGAGAAAGGAGAUGAGAGAACAAAUUAGAAUACAGAGUGAUCGACACUUUGAUGAAGGAAGUAAGUGGAGCCUGGGGUCCAUGAAACCCACUGCCAAACCAACCCAGACAGACUCAGUGUGACAUUACAAGCAUCCUGGGUGGAACUGCAAGACAUAGUUAUUUCAAGAUUAUGAAGAGUGUGGUAGCCAAACUCCAAGAUGGCCGCAUGAUCCCUCCUCCAGGUACUCGUGCCCUUGUAUGGUAUGCUCCCACAGUCUUCCGAGGAUUCCGUUGUAUGACUGAUCGAAUACAGCAGAGGCGAUGGCAUAGGACAUCUGAGGCUACAUCAUCUAAGGGAUACACAGGAAUUCACUCCCAUCCUCCCAUGUGGCUUCUACUUUGCUCUUAAUCUCUCAGAUCUCUCACCCUGGCAGACACCAUCCACCAUGUCCUGAGGACACUCAAGCAGCUCUGUGGCCUCCUGACAAUAGCUGUUAGGUGAAACACCUUGGGUGCAGACCCUCUAGCCCCACUCCAGCCUUCAGAAGACAGCAGCCCCAGCUCACAUGGGACCCUGAGCCAGACCACCAAGCAAACCACUCCCAGAUUCCUGACCCACAGAAACUGUGAGAUAAUGAAAGUCUGCUGUUAGAAGUCACUAAGUUCAGUGUAACUGUCACGGGCAAGAGACAGCCAAUACAAUACUUUCGUGCUUCAUACAUCAUUUUUCCAUCUAUCCAAAAUGGGAAGAAUACUUCACAGACUUGAUGUGAAGCUGCAAGACUCCUGGUACUCCACUGAUGCAGGUGGGUCAGAGGGUAAGUCCAGGCUGUGUGACCAUGGGCAAUUACUUUGAGUUUUGGUUUCCUAAGCCACAAAAUGAGGAUAAAAACAGCACACACCUUACGGAGUCAUUGAGAGGAUGUUAAAAGAACAGAGAUCAAACAUUUGGUCAACUGAAAAGUGGGAUAAGAAAGUUGGGUGUGUGGUUGUCAUUUUUCAUCAUCCCUUUCCUCUUCUUCCUCUUCUUCUUGGCAUCACAGGUAAACACU
ensembl:lncRNA LINC01570 long intergenic non-protein coding RNA 1570